UCCCCUAUGGCUUAGCUCGGUAAAGCGCCUCACUAGUACCUUAACAGGUAAUGAGGAGAUCCAUAGUUCAAAUCUGUGUGGGGGAA